AUUGAACGCUGGCGGCAUGCUUUACACAUGCAAGUCGAGCGGCAGCGCGGGGGCAACCCUGGCGGCGAGCGGCGAACGGGUGAGUAAUGCAUCGGAACGUACCCUGGAGUGGGGGAUAACGCCGCGAAAGCGGCGCUAAUACCGCAUAUGCUCUGAGGAGGAAAGUGGGGGACCGCAAGGCCUCACGCUCUGGGAGCGGCCGAUGUCCGAUUAGCUAGUUGGUGAGGUAAAGGCUUACCAAGGCGACGAUCGGUAGCUGGUCUGAGAGGAUGAUCAGCCACACUGGGGCUGAGACACGGCCCAGACUCCUACGGGAGGCAGCAGUGGGGAAUUUUGGACAAUGGGGGCAACCCUGAUCCAGCCAUGCCGCGUGAGUGAAGAAGGCC
rnacentral:rRNA from 1 species